GUAUACUCUUGGGGAAAUCCGGAUGGGGAUACUCAGGAUAGGAUCGUGUGCCACGUGUCAUCAGGGAUGGGUCCCUACACUGAGCAUAGCGAUUCUCCAAUGGAUACAACGACACAGAAUAUUAACAGUAAUGUAGUUGAUGCCCAAGAUGAUGAAGAGGACCAUAUGCACAACUGGUUGGAGCUUUUUUGCAAAUUUGUUGAAUGGAUAUGCUGCAGAAGACACUAAACAUUUAUCUCAAGCUUUUUCUAAACCAAUUACAGCUUAGCCUUCGACUUGAUCAAGCUUUGGUAGGAUAUGAUACAUUGCUGAAUGGAUGACAUUAAGAGCCCAACCUCUAUCAGGUCAGCCAUGAAAGUCCUUAUUAAUCAAGGCAAGUCAAACAUUUCAUGUCAAUUAAUAAUUCUGAUUAAAGUGGUGCCUCACACUUUAUUUUCUUUUGUACUAUACAUAUUUGUUGGUGUAAAAAAGAGAUAGAUUCUCGAAGCAAGAAUAAGAAAUCAAAUUAUGUAGGAAA